CUGAGUUCAAUGCCUCACAAUUGCUGGCUCUCCCUCUCCCUAGGGCACAGAAAUGCUCUUCAGACCAUGCUCCUACUGCCAGGGGAUGGAGAAGGCAUGGUGUCAGCAAUUCAAGACUGUUUUUCCUACCUCUUCAGUGUCUCUUUUGGCGAAAUGAAGUGAAAAUCAGGAACAAGAUGUCUCCAGAGUUAAAUACAUUAAUUAAAUGCAAUUUCAAUGGAUGUCCCAAUGUUUUAAAUUGAAUAACAUGACUUUAAAGAAGAUAUGGGAAACUUCAACUCCCAGAAAAAUGAAGUAGAUACAUACUUCUCUAUUCCUUCCACUAAGUACAACUGAAAACCGUGACACUGUAUAUAAAACAAACAUAAGAAGACUCUGAAAGGUAAGAAUGGGUUUUCUUUUGCCUCCUUUAUUCCAGACUUGUAACUGAAGAAGCCAUCAACCAAGAAAUUUCCAACAGACCCAGAUGGAAAAAGUCCCAGUGAAAGCCUGUUCUUUAGGCAAAGGGGCCAGAAAAGAGCAAGAUAGCAGGACAAGAUCUCUGCCAUCAUGUGAGAGAGAGCCUGAGUUAGCCUGCUGGAUGGUCAAAGAUGAGUGGUGCAGCUAAGUGAAAGCCUGCUGACUUGUAGACAUAUGAGUAAGGCCAUGCUUGAUCACCUGGCUGCCAGCUGGCCUGCCAACUAAUUGCAGGUACUUGAAAGAGUCCAGCAGAGAUCAGCCACCCCAGGUCAAAUAAACACCCAGCCCCCUCCCUGAGAAUCAUGAACUAAAUAAAUGUCUUAAGUACUAAGUUUUGGGUGUUUGCUACAUAGCAAAAGCUAAUUGAUACUGUUCCCAAGGAGUGGAAAACUUCUGUAACAAAAAACAAAAAAUUCUGGCAUUGGUUUUGGGAUUGGGCAAUGGGUAGAGGCUGGAAAAAUGGCAAGGAAGCUGCCAUAGCAACCUAGAAAAAUGGCAACCCAUGCUAUAAAAUAGGGCAAUUGGUCAAUAAGUUUUGAAGUGGUUUGUUAUGCAGCAAUAGCCUACUGAUACACCACGUGAAUUAUAGUAAGGAAUAGCUAAGGCAAAACAAAACAUUGGAUGAGUAGCAUAGUUCUUUCUAAAGAACCACUAAGGCUUGCUCAGGAAUAUGUACUAAUUCAGGUGGCAUCUGUUAACUAUCACUGAGCAUAAUAUUGGAGGAUAAAUCUGCUUUGCUUAUUGCCACCCCCGUAGCUUAGAAGCUACUCCUAAAACAGCAAGGAUGUCACUGUAGCAGUGGGCAAGGA